GGUAUUUUCAAAACUCCUAAAAAGCGAAAAACUACCAGGGAAGAGGAAGACACUGUUGAGAAGGGUAUUUUGAAAACAUAUAAAAAGAGAAAAACUACCGGAGAAGAGGGAGACCCUCUUGACAAGG